GGGGAAUUUUGGACAAUGGGCGCAAGCCUGAUCCAGCCAUGCCGCGUGUCUGAAGAAGGCCUUCGGGUUGUAAAGGACUUUUGUUAGGGAAGAAAAAGGAGCGGUUAAUACCCGUUUCUGCUGACGGUACCUAAAGAAUAAGCACCGGCUAACUACGUGCCAGCAGCCGCGGUAAUACGUAGGGUGCGAGCGUUAAUCGGAAUUACUGGGCGUAAAGCGAGCGCAGACGGUUACUUAAGCAGGAUGUGAAAUCCCCGGGCUCAACCUGGGAACUGCGUUCUGAACUGGGUAGCUAGAGUAUGUCAGAGGGGGGUAGAAUUCCACGUGUAGCAGUGAAAUGCGUAGAGAUGUGGAGGAAUACCGAUGGCGAAGGCAGCCCCCUGGGAUAAUACUGACGUUCAUGCUCGAAAGCGUGGGUAGCAAACAGGAUUAGAUACCCUGGUAGUCCACGCCCUAAACGAUGUCGAUUAGCUGUUGGGCAGCUUGACUGCUUAGUAGCGUAGCUAACGCGUGAAAUCGACCGCCUGGGGAGUACGGUCGCAAGAUUA
rnacentral:rRNA from 1 species